rnacentral:rRNA from 1 species
AGAGUUUGAUCAUGGCUCAGGACGAACGCUGGCGGCGUGCUUAACACAUGCAAGUCGAACGGGAAGGCCCUUCGGGGUGCUCGAGUGGCGAACGGGUGAGUAACACGUGGGUGAUCUGCCCUGCACUUUGGGAUAAGCCUGGGAAACUGGGUCUAAUACCGAAUAGGACUGCGCUCUUCAUGGGGUGUGGUGGAAAGCUUUUGCGGUGUGGGAUGGGCCCGCGGCCUAUCAGCUUGUUGGUGGGGUAAUGGCCUACCAAGGCGACGACGGGUAGCCGGCCUGAGAGGGUGACCGGCCACACUGGGACUGAGAUACGGCCCAGACUCCUACGGGAGGCAGCAGUGGGGAAUAUUGCACAAUGGGCGCAAGCCUGAUGCAGCGACGCCGCGUGAGGGAUGACGGCCUUCGGGUUGUAAACCUCUUUCAGCACAGACGAAGCGCAAGUGACGGUAUGUGCAGAAGAAGGACCGGCCAACUACGUGCCAGCAGCCGCGGUAAUACGUAGGGUCCGAGCGUUGUCCGGAAUUACUGGGCGUAAAGAGCUCGUAGGUGGUUUGUCGCGUUGUUCGUGAAAACUCACAGCUUAACUGUGGGCGUGCGGGCGAUACGGGCAGACUUGAGUACUGCAGGGGAGACUGGAAUUCCUGGUGUAGCGGUGGAAUGCGCAGAUAUCAGGAGGAACACCGGUGGCGAAGGCGGGUCUCUGGGCAGUAACUGACGCUGAGGAGCGAAAGCGUGGGGAGCGAACAGGAUUAGAUACCCCGGUAGUCC